rnacentral:rRNA from 1 species
GACGAACCGUGCGAACGUUGUUCGGAAUCACUGGGCAUAAAGGGCGCGUAGGCGGCUUAUCAAGUCAGGGGUGAAAUCCGGCAGCUUAACUGUCGAAGUGCCCUUGAUACUGAUGAGCUCGAGGGAGAUAGGGGUGUGUGGAACUCCGGUGGAGCGGUGAAAUGCGUAGAGAUGUGGAGGAACACCGAUGGCGAAGGCAGCCCCCUGGGCUAACACUGACGCUCAUGCACGAAAGCGUGGGGAGCAAACAGG